GACGUAGGGCGCGAGCGUUGUCCGGAUUUAUUGGGCGUAAAGAGCUCGUAGGCGGCUUGUCGCGUCGUCCGUGAAAACCAGGGGCUCAACCCCUGGCUUGCGGUCGAUACGGGCAGGCUAGAGGUAGGUAGGGGAGAAUGGAAUUCCCGGUGUAGCGGUGAAAUGCGCAGAUAUCGGGAGGAACACCGGUGGCGAAGGCGGUUCUCUGGGCCUUACCUGACGCUGAGGAGCGAAAGCGUGGGGAGCGAACAGG
rnacentral:rRNA from 1 species